UGGGGUUAGUUGAAUUAAUUAAAGUUUCGCUCACUGCACCUGUAACGUUUAAUUGCUCUUGCAACUGGUCAUUUUUCUAUCUCUAACACAUGUGUUUUGUAACAGAUUGUGCUGAGGGAUUCAAAGCCUGUGACGCUCGAAAGCUGUACAUGUACGUGUGUGGCAGGCACUGCCCUGUGCAACCACGUGGCAGCUCUUCUGUACCAAACCGCACAUUAUUCGCAGCUGGAGCUCAAGGCCGUUCCACCGGUGCACAGCUGCACAGAGACAGAGCAGAGGUGGCACAAACCAAGAACCAUGGGUGUUAAACCUGGUCUGGUGAACAAGAUGGUGAUCCUCUCAGCCCGACCAAAAGAAAGAAAGCUGGUAGAAGGAAUCAGAAGCAACCUGUAUAGAGGAGUAACUUCCCCCUUGCCUGAACCUGCCACACUUAAUGUCGGAGCAGUGUACCAGGACAUUCCUGCUGAUCUGGCUCCCAUGAUCACAACAAUGU